AGUAACCUGCCCUGGAGUGGGGAAUAACAGCUGGAAACAGCUGCUAAUACCGCAUAAUGCAGUUGGGUCGCAUGGCUCUGACUGCCAAAGAUUUAUCGCUCUGGGAUGGACUCGCGUCUGAUUAGCUAGUUGGUGGGGUAACGGCCCACCAAGGCGACGAUCAGUAGCCGGACUGAGAGGUUGGCCGGCCACAUUGGGACUGAGACACGGCCCAGACUCCUACGGGAGGCAGCAG
rnacentral:rRNA from 1 species